rnacentral:tRNA from 1 species
GCGAUCAUCUGGUCCAGGUGGGCGGACGGCUCCGACUCGUUCUUGCCGUCCGUGAGCAGGAUGAGGUGCUUGUUCGCGACGGGCGCCGUCGCG